AUUGAACGCUGGCGGCAGGCCUAACACAUGCAAGUCGAGCGGAUGAGCGGGGCUCGCUCUUGGAUCGAGCGGCGGACGGGUGAGUAAUGCCUAGGAAUCUGCCCGGUAGUGGGGGAUAACGUCGCGAAAGGGGCGCUAAUACCGCAUACGACCUGAGGGUGAAAGUGGGGGAUCUUCGGACCUCACGCUAUCAGAUGAGCCUAGGUCGGAUUAGCUAGUUGGUGGGGUAAAGGCCUACCAAGGCGACGAUCCGUAGCUGGUCUGAGAGGAUGAUCAGUCACACUGGAGCUGAGACACGGUCCAGACUCCUACGGGAGGCAGCAGUGGGGAAUAUUGGACAAUGGGCGAAAGCCUGAUCCAGCCAUGCCGCGUGUGUGAAGAAGGUCUUCGGAUUGUAAAGCGCUUUUAGUUGGGAAGAAAGGCUGUAGGUUAAUACCUCGCUGGGUUGACGGUACCGGCAGAAUAAGCACCGGCUAACUACGUG
rnacentral:rRNA from 1 species